rnacentral:sRNA from 1 species
CAGAGGUUCUGAACAUCUACGAGACUCGUUUAGGCGAGUCUCCUUACUUGGCUGGUGAAAGCUUCAGUUUAGCGGAUCUGCAUCAUCUUGCGCCGAUUGAUUACUUGUUGAACACGGACGAAGAAGAGUUGAAAAACUUGAUCU